rnacentral:rRNA from 1 species
GACGAGCGCUGGCGGCGUGCCUAAUACAUGCAAGUAGAACGCACAGUUUAUACCGUAGCUUGCUACACCAUAGACUGUGAGUUGCGAACGGGUGAGUAACGCGUAGGUAACCUGCCUGGUAGCGGGGGAUAACUAUUGGAAACGAUAGCUAAUACCGCAUAAUAUUAAUUAUUGCAUGAUAAUUAAUUGAAAGGUGCAAUUGCACCACUACCAGAUGGACCUGCGUUGUAUUAGCUAGUAGGUGAGGUAACGGCUCACCUAGGCGACGAUACAUAGCCGACCUGAGAGGGUGAUCGGCCACACUGGGACUGAGACACGGCCCAGACUCCUACGGGAGGCAGCAGUAGGGAAUCUUCGGCAAUGGACGAAAGUCUGACCGAGCAACGCCGCGUGAGUGAAGAAGGGUUUCGGAUCGUAAAGCUCGGUUGUAAGAGAAGAACGGGUGUGAGAGUGGAAAGUUCACACUGUGACGGUAUCUUACCAGAAAGGGACGGCUAACUACGUG